rnacentral:rRNA from 1 species
GUGUGUGGCCACCCUGAAUGUGCCCCAUCUCAUCUGAUCGUGGAAGCUAAGCAGGGUAGGGCCUGGUUAGUACUUGGGUGGGAGAAAUUGGAGUCUGACAAAGAAAGAAUACUGUGGCUUUAUACA